rnacentral:rRNA from 1 species
CAUUAUACCGUGAAACUGCGAAUGGCUCAUUAAAUCAGUUAUCGUUUAUUUGAUAGUACCUUACUACUUGGAUAACCGUGGUAAUUCUAGAGCUAAUACAUGCUGAAAACCCCAACUUCGGGAGGGGUGUAUUUAUUAGAUAAAAAACCAACGCCCUUCGGGGCUUCUUGGUGAUUCAUGAUAACUUUACGGAUCGCAUGGCCUUGCGCCGGCGACGGUUCAUUCAAAUUUCUGCCCUAUCAACUUUCGAUGGUAAGGUAUUGGCUUACCAUGGUUUCAACGGGUAACGGGGAAUUAGGGUUCGAUUCCGGAGAGGGAGCCUGAGAAACGGCUACCACAUCCAAGGAAGGCAGCAGGCGCGCAAAUUACCCAAUCCCGACACGGGGAGGUAGUGACAAUAAAUACUGAUACAGGGCUCUUUUGGGUCUUGUAAUUGGAAUGAGUACAAUUUAAACCUCUUAACGAGGAACAAUUGGAGGGCAAGUCUGGUGCCAGCAGCCGCGGUAAUUCCAGCUCCAAUAGCGUAUAUUAAAGUUGUUGCAGUUANNNGCUCGUAGUUGAACCUUGNGUCUGGCUGGCAGGUCCGCCUCACCGCGUGUACUUGUCCGGCCGGGCCUUCCUUCUGGAGAACCUCAUGCCCUUCACUGGGCGUGUUGGGGACCAGGACUUUUACUUUGAAAAAAUUAGAGUGUUCAAAGCAGGCCUUUGCUCGAAUACGUUAGCAUGGAAUAAUAGAAUAGGACGUGCGGUCCUAUUUUGUUGGUUUCUAGGACCGCCGUAAUGAUUAAUAGGGACAGUCGGGGGCAUCAGUAUUCAAUUGUCAGAGGUGAAAUUCUUGGAUUUAUUGAAGACUAACUACUGCGAAAGCAUUUGCCAAGGAUGUUUUCAUUAAUCAGUGAACGAAAGUUAGGGGAUCGAAGACGAUCAGAUACCGUCGUAGUCUUAACCGUAAACUAUGCCGACUAGGGAUCGGGCGAUGUUCUUUUUCUGACUCGCUCGGCACCUUACGAGAAAUCAAAGUUUUUGGGUUCUGGGGGGAGUAUGGUCGCAAGGCUGAAACUUAAAGNNNNNNNNNNNNNNNNNNNNNNNNNNNNCGCAGUAGCUCUGCGCCNGAAGGAGCCAGUAAUGGUGAGUGGUUGCCGUCCUUAAAUCCUAGUCUUUCUUUGAAAGGCGAGACCCUUAAAUUGCGGGGAAUUCGCGAAGCACUCAGCUACUAAGCCUACCUGCGAAAGCGGUGGGUGGCCAGGUUAACUGCCUGGGUAUAGUAAAAACGCUGUUUGUAUGUGUUAAUCCGCAGCCAAGCCCCUCUAUCAAUGCGAGUGGGGAAGGUUCAGAGACUAAACAGGGGUCGGUUAGAACUAUGAAGUACAUUCUAGCUUAAGAUAUAGUCCGUGUCACUGCUGAAAGGCAGUANAAUUAGGAUUACCCUAUAUAAAACGGGAGCCUGCGGCUUAAUUUGACUCAACACGGGGAAACUCACCAGGUCCAGAUGAAAUAAGGAUUGACAGAUUGAGAGCUCUUUCUUGAUUUUUCAGGUGGUGGUGCAUGGCCGUUCUUAGUUGGUGGAGUGAUUUGUCUGCUUAAUUGCGAUAACGAACGAGACCUUAACCUGCUAAAUAGCCAGGCUAGCUUUGGCUGGUCGCCGGCUUCUUAGAGGGACUAUCGGCUCAAGCCGAUGGAAGUUUGAGGCAAUAACAGGUCUGUGAUGCCCUUAGAUGUUCUGGGCCGCACGCGCGCUACACUGACAGAGCCAACGAGUUCUUCACCUUGGCCGAAAGGUCUGGGUAAUCUUGUUAAACUCUGUCGUGCUGGGGAUAGAGCAUUGCAAUUAUUGCUCUUCAACGAGGAAUGCCUAGUAAGCGCGUGUCAUCAGCAUGCGUUGAUUACGUCCCUGCCCUUUGUACACACCGCCCGUCGCUACUACCGAUUGAAUGGCUCNGUGAGGCCUUCGGACUGGCUUAGGGAGGUUGGCAACGA